UACGUAGGGCGCAAGCGUUGUCCGGAAUUAUUGGGCGUAAAGAGCUCGUAGGCGGUCUGUCGCGUCGGCUGUGAAAACCCGGGGCUCAACUCCGGGCUUGCAUUCGAUACGGGCAGGCUAGAGUUCGGUAGGGGAGUCUGGAAUUCCUGGUGUAGCGGUGAAAUGCGCAGAUAUCAGGAGGAACACCGGUGGCGAAGGCGGGACUCUGGGCCGAUACUGACGCUGAGGAGCGAAAGCGUGGGGAGCGAACAGG
rnacentral:rRNA from 1 species